rnacentral:rRNA from 1 species
ACUCCUACGGGAGGCAGCAGUGGGGAAUAUUGGACAAUGGGGGCAACCCUGAUCCAGCAAUGCCGCGUGAGUGAUGAAGGCCUUAGGGUUGCAAAGCUCUUUUGGCGGGGACGAUGAUGACGGUACCCGCAGAAUAAGCCCCGGCUAACUUCGUGCCAGCAGCCGCGGUAAUACGAAGGGGGCGAGCGUUGUUCGGAAUUACUGGGCGUAAAGGGCGCGUAGGCGGCGACCCAAGUCAGAUGUGAAAGUCCUGGGCUUAACCUGGGGACUGCAUUUGAUACUGGGUUGCUUGAAUUCGGGAGAGGAUAGCGGAAUUCCCAGUGUAGAGGUGAAAUUCGUAGAUAUUGGGAAGAACACCGGUGGCGAAGGCGGCUAUCUGGACCGACAUUGACGCUGAGGCGCGAAAGCGUGGGGAGCAAACAGGAUUAGAUACCCUGGUAGUCCACGCCCUAAACGAUGUCAACUAGUUGUCGGGUCUUCAUUGACUUGGUAACGAAGCUAACGCGUGAAGUUGACCGCCUGGGGAGUACGGUCGCAAGAUUAAAACUCAAAGAAUUGACG